AUUGAACGCUGGCGGAAUGCUUUACACAUGCAAGUCGAGCGGCAGCGCGGGGGCAACCCUGGCGGCGAGCGGCGAACGGGUGAGUAACAUAUCGGAACGUACCCUGUCGUGGGGGAUAACUAUCCGAAAGGAUAGCUAAUACCGCAUACGACCUGAGGGUGAAAGCGGGGGACCGCAAGGCCUCGCGCGAUAGGAGCGGCCGAUAUCGGAUUAGCUAGUUGGUGAGGUAAAGGCUCACCAAGGCGACGAUCCGUAGCGGGUCUGAGAGGACGACCCGCCACACUGGAACUGAGACACGGUCCAGACUCCUACGGGAGGCAGCAGUGGGGAAUUUUGGACAAUGGGGGCAACCCUGAUCCAGCCAUUCCGCGUGAGUGAAGAAGGCCUGGU
rnacentral:rRNA from 1 species